rfam:Pythium ultimum DAOM BR144 ctg_1117875579273, whole genome shotgun sequence.
GCUCCUGUAGCUUAGUGGCUAAGCUCCAUGUAUGCACGUGGGUGUCGUGGGUUCGAGUCCCACCAGGAGCA